UCUGACAACAGCAUACUCACGUUACUCCAGGACUGGUAAAAAAUGCUGACAAAGAUAUAUUUCUCAUAUUCUGUGUGAACAUUUGUGAGAGGUUAUUUUAUUGUGCCUCGUGUUUGUGUUGUUUAUAUGUCACAUUUAAGGAGAGUCACUACGAGUUGUGUGUGGAAGCUAGGCUAACUAGCUGAGCAAACUUAGCGCCCUUGGAAGCGGAAGGAGAUAAGAAACCUGCGUAGGACUUCUGUGACACUCCACAGGACGCAGCCCAGCGUCACUCACACAAAGAGGCCAUUCAACCAGCGCUGCAGAAAGAGCUUUUCAACGCAGAUGCCAUCUUUCAAGUUGGGUACAUGACAGUCGGGAGACGUGGUCGUAACGGACUUGGAAGGCUGUUGGCAGUCAGGUAUGUGUGGUCAAGAGAGAAGGGAAUAGCACGCACAGAAAUGAGAUGAAGCAGCUCUCUGGGCUGAACCAACAUCAUUGAGCACAUCCAUUGCGGGCGGGCUGGAAAGCAAUAGACAAAAACAGGAGGUAUCCGCAGCGUUGUUGACGCUGCCUCCCC